AAAUGACAAAAUUUCAUAUUUUCAGAAUUUUGAAAAAAAUUCUGAAAACUAAAUGAUAGUAUACUAUAUCACCCCGCCCUUCGCUUUGAGUCCUUAGGAAACUAUGCAGUAUUUUGUUUUUUUAAAAUGUAUUAUUUCUGACACUGUUACACCAGGAAAUCUGAAGUCUUAUUACAUACAGCCGGGAAGAACUAUUGGAUAUAAGAGCGACGUCAACUUAGCAACAUUACGACUAGAAAUACGACUUUCCCGAAGCGGAUCCUCUGUUUGGACCACCACCCAGGACAAUGGAUCAGAUCCUCUGUUUGGACCACUACCCAGGACAAUGGAUCAGAUCCUCUGUAUGGACCACCACCCAGGACAAUGGAUCAGAUCCUCUGUUUGGCCCACCACCCAGGACAAUAGAUCAGAUCCUCAUUUGGCCCACCACCCAGGACAAUAGAUCAGAUCCUCUGUUUGGCCCACCACCCAGGACAAUAGAUCAGAUCCUCUGUUUGGCCCACCACCCAGAAUAAUGGAUCAGAUCCUCUGUAUGGACCACCACCCAGGACAAUGGAUCAGAUCCUCUGUUUGGCCCACCACCCAGGACAAUGGAUCGGAUCCCAGUAGCCGACCCAAAACAACAGCACCGCAGAAGGGGCAGACGCAGCGGCCUCCUGGUCAGGCUACGUUGACGUGCACAUCGCCCACCGCUCCCGAGUAUACUACUCGCCAAUGUCCCGUCUCUGGACAACAAGGUAGACAAAAUCCGAGCAAGGGUCGCCUUCCAGAGAGACAUCAGGGAUUAUAACAUUCUCUUUUUCACGGAAACAUGGCUCUCUCGGGAUAUGUUGUCGGAAUCGGUUCAGCCGCCAGGCUUCUCAAUGCAUCGCGCUAUCAGAGAUAAACACCUCUCUGGGAAGAGGAAGGGCGGGGGUGUAUGCUUCAUGAUUAUCGACUCAUGGUGUAAUCAUAACAACAUACAGGAACUCAUCCUUCUUCUCACCCGACCUAGAAUUCCUUACAAUCAAAUGCUGGCCAUAUUACCUCCCAAGAGAAUUCUCGUCAGUUAUCGUCACAGCUGUGUACAUUCCCCCUCAAGCAGACACCAAGACGGCCCUCAUGGAACUUCACUGGACUCUAUGUAA
ensembl:lncRNA